rnacentral:rRNA from 1 species
GACGAACGCUGGCGGCGUGCUUAACACAUGCAAGUCGAGCGGUAAGGCCCUUUCGGGGGUACACGAGCGGCGAACGGGUGAGUAACACGUGGGUGACCUGCCCUCAGCUCUGGGAUAAGCCUGGGAAACUGGGUCUAAUACUGGAUAUGACUCCACGGUGCAUGUCGUGGGGUGGAAAGCCUUGUGCGGCUGAGGAUGGGCCCGCGGCCUAUCAGCUUGUUGGUGGGGUGANGGCCUACCAAGGCGACGACGGGUAGCCGGCCUGAGAGGGCGACCGGCCACACUGGGACUGAGACACGGCCCAGACUCCUACGGGAGGCAGCAGUGGGGAAUCUUGCGCAAGUGGGCGAAAGCCUGACGCAGCGACGCCGCGUGAGGA